AGUGCUCAGCUAAAAUUUCUGUUUUCUAGGCCUUUUGGGGAUCCACUGAGACUAGUUCUCUGUGUUCUCCAGUUUUAGCACAGAGUAUAUUAAACACAGAGAUAUGAAGCUAAGAAAACACAGUAAAUGUUAUCUUCUGUAUUUAAAAUAGGUUCAAGAAAAGAAAUUCAAGAUCCAAGGACUGCUUGUGAAGAAUUCUGACAGACAUGAUAUUUGUUACUGAGAGCAAUUCAAAAAAGGAAGCUUCUGUGUUUUGAUGACAAACAAGGAAAUACGAACAGAAAACACUUUGACAGAAAAACAAAAAGAGAAACAACAAAAAACCAACAACUACUGGAAGUAACAUUUUAUGUGACAACAGAUCUGACUGAAAUAGAAGAAACAAAAUAAAAGAAAUUGAAUUUAUUAAGUGAUUAUACUCUACUUGAAAGAUCUUGAAGAAAUGUAGUAAAAAAGUACAAUAAAGUUUGAAAUUGAAGCCUAUAAUCAUAUUUUCACAAGUAUCUGUGUUGAAAAAAUAUAAAGUUUAUAGUAUCUAUAUUUAUUUAUUUGUUUAUUUAUUUUUGCUUUGGAAUGAAAACAGAAUUAAAAAUGUUUCCACUGUCCAAUGUCUAUUAUCUUUAUUUCAGCUAUGAAUUAAAAAUAUUUUAAAACAACAUAGAAUUAAUCUGGAUCUAAAGUCUAUACCUUAUUGAUAUUUAAUCUGCAAAGUUUCAAAGUGACUUAAAAUGUUAUGAUAAUAAUUUCUUCUUUUAUGUUAUAUGUAUGAAACAGUUACAUGUUAUGAUUAGGAAAAACAUGUUUUUUCUGUCAGAAAAAGGAAGGUGCAUUUCAGGACUUCUGUAAGAACUUGCAGCAUUUUCAGCGUUGGAUAACUAGAGCAUCACUCUUGACAACAUUAGAUUGAUAAAUGACUUUCAUGUUGUGUAUUUGCCUCUUGAAACGGGUAGUCUAAAUGCCAAAGCUUGGAAGCAAAUUGUCACUGCUGAGAAAAGGUGGCCUUGGGACGAUGGUGGAGCAUGGUUCUUGCAGGCCAAAGCCAUCAAAGCAGUGGUCUUGCCAAAAUAUCUAUAGGCUGUUCCUGUUUCAGCCAGAAAUGUUUUAGGCUACAGCUUCAGCACUUCAAGAAUUUGUCAUAUUUUGUUGUAUAGGUAUUUAGAGAACACAUCUAUGUUUUUUCUGUGGUACAUCCAAUGAAAUAUUAUUUCCUUUUCUCAGUUAUGCAUACAAAAUAACUUAUUUCUAGGAAAUACUUGGGCUUCACUUGGGCCAAAUGAGAGUAAAAGAUAUGUAUGAAACAAUGCAUGCUGCAGGUACCUUGUCUUGUACUUGUCUUGUACAUAGUACUUCAAGCUGUGUCAUUUCUGUAGAUACACGAGACAUGGAGCAGAGGAAUGUGGUAAAUCAGUGCAUGAUGCAUUUAUAGCUGCUUAUUUUUUCAAUAUCUUGUCCCUUAAUGAAUUCCUUCAGGGCAUGAUUUUGGCUGGCUUGACAUAAGCCUGAGAGUCAGGUUUUUUCCCUUAAUUUGAUCUGAUCAGUUGCUGUAUUGAAGCAUGUUUUACCAUGUUCCAUGUAAUUGCCCUUGAACAAUAAAUACGUGGCCU
rnacentral:lncRNA from 7 species